CGGGAGGCAGCAGUAGGGAAUUUUCCACAAUGGACGAAAGUCUGAUGGAGCAACGCCGCGUGAACGAUGAAGGCUUUCGGGUCGUAAAGUUCUGUUGUUAGGGAAGAAACAGUGCUAUUUAAAUAAGGUAGCACCUUGACGGUACCUAACGAGAAAGCCACGGCUAACUACGUGCCAGCAGCCGCGGUAAUACGUAGGUGGCAAGCGUUGUCCGGAAUUAUUGGGCGUAAAGCGCGCGCAGGUGGCUAUGUAAGUCU
rnacentral:rRNA from 1 species